AUGCUUUCAGUUUUUCACCAUUGAGGAGGAUGUUUGCUGUGGGCUUGUCAUAUAUGGCCUUUAUUAUGUUGAGGAAAGUUCCCUCUAUGCCUACUUUCUGCAGGGUUUUUAUCAUAAACGGGUGUUGAAUUUUGUCGAAAGCUUUCUCUGCAUCUAUUGAGAUGAUCAUAUGGUUUUUCUCCUUCAGUUUGUUAAUAUGGUUUAUCACAUUGAUAGAUUUGCGUAUAUUGAAGAAUCCUUGCAUUCCUGGAAUAAACCCCACUUGAUCGUGGUGUAUGAUCCUUUUAACGUGCUGUUGGAUUCUGUUUGCUAGUAUUUUGUUGAGGAUUUUUGCAUCUAUGUUCAUCAGUGAUAUUGGCCUGUAGUUUUCUUUCUUUGUGACAUCCUUGUCUGGUUUUGGUAUCAAGGUGAUGGUGGCCUCGUAGAAGGAGUUUGGGAGUGUUCCUCCCUCUGCUAUAUUUUGGAAGAGUUUGAGAAGGAUAGGUGUUAGUUCUUCUCUAAAUGUUUGAUAGAAUUCGCCUGUGAAGCCAUCUGGUCCUGGGCUUUUGUUUGUUGGAAGAUUUUUAAUCACAGUUUCAAUUUCAGUGCUUGUGAUUGGUCUGUUCAUCUUUUCUGUUUCUUCCUGAUUCAGUCUUGGCAGGUUGUGCAUUUCUAAGAAUUUGUCCAUUUCUUCCAGAUUGUCCAUUUUAUUGGCAUAGAGUUGCUUGUAGUAAUCUCUCAUGAUCUUUUUUAUUUCUGCAGUGUCAGUUGUUACUUCUCCUUUUUCAUUUCUAAAUCUAUUGAUUUGAGUCUUCUCCCUUUUUUUCUUGAUGAGUCUGGCUAGUGGUUUAUCUAUUUUGUUUAUCUUCUCAAAGAACCAGCUUUUAGUUUUAUUGAUCUUUGCUAUUGUUUCCUUCAUUUCUUUUUCAUUUAUUUCUGAUCUGAUUUUUAUGAUUUCUUUCCUUCUGCUAGCUUUGGGGUUUUUUUGUUCUUCUUUCUCUAAUUGCUUGAGGUGCAAGGUUAGGUUGUUUAUUCGAGAUGCUUCCUGCUUCUUAAGGUGGGCUUGUAUUGCUAUAAACUUCCCCCUUAGAACUGCUUUUGCUGCAUCCCAUAGGUUUUGGGUCGUUGUGUCUCCAUUGUCAUUUGUUUCUAGGUAUUUUUUUAUUUCCCCUUUGAUUUCUUCAGUGAUCACUUCAUUAUUAAGUAGUAUAUUGUUUAGCCUCCAUGUGUUUGUAUUUUUUACAGAUCUUUUCCUGUAAUUGAUAUCUAGUCUCAUGGUGUUGUGGUCAGAAAAGAUACUUGAUACAAUUUCAAUUUUCUUAAAUUUACCAAGGCUUGAUUUGUGACCCAAGAUAUGAUCUGUCCUGGAGAAUGUUCCAUGAGCACUUGAGAAAAAUGUGUAUUCUGUUAUUUUUGGAUGGAAUGUCCUAUAAAUAUCAAUUAAGUCCAUCUUGUUUAAUGUAUCAUUUAAAGCUUGUGUUUCCUUAUUUAUUUUCAUUUUGGAUGAUCGGUCCAUUGAAAUUUCAAGUUUUAUCCAACUUAACACUUCCACCAACAGGACACGUAAGUGCAAGUUUUACUUUGGGCAAAACUGAGUUUUGUCACUAUUUUUCUAUCUUUGCUAUAUCUACCAUUGUUCUAUAUCCUCUUCCCUGUUUAAUUUUCUUCUGUUAAGAUGUUGUGUGAAAGAAGUUCACUUAUCCACCAAUAUCUCUUGAAAUUAUAAAUUAGAAAGAGGGCAACUGAAGAGUAUAAUUGAGUAUAAAUUGAAACUGUGGAGUCGUGUAAUGCCAGGGGCAUAGGUUAACCACACAUGAUGAUAAAAAUAAAACUAUUAAUUAAGCUUUUCACACCAGCCCUUUGAUAGUUCUUUUUAUUAGGGUUUUGUGUAAUGAGCUUAUGCUAAUAAAAGUGAUAUCUCGUAUUUUGGAACACUCACUGUGUGCCAGCAGUCAUGCUAAGCACAGGUAUCUCAUUUAAUGCUUACAACAGCCUUGUCAGAAAGGGAUUUUCAUCCUUAUCUUCAUAGAUGAGGAAGCUUGAGGUGAAGUGAUUUGACCAAGAGAAAACCAUGGGUAGGUGACUGAACCAAAAUUGUGAUUAUGAAUAUUAGGGUUCCUGGCUCCAGAAAUUUGAUAGUGUACCACCAGAAGAUUAUAGAGAGGUUAUAAAAGCAGAGGUUGAUAAGAUGUUAGUCUAGGAUUUCCUAGUAUCAGAAAUAGCAAACCCUUUUAUCUUAAUGGAGCUGAUCAGUGAAGCUAUGUUAUAGUAAGUAGGUUGCUUGAUUAGUCAUGGGAUGCCUCAAUAGAGGUUAAACAGAGAGAACAGAUGUGUCAAGGACCUUGAGGAUCCUCUGUCUCCAAAGGCAGGUUGACUGGAAACCUCAAAGCCCAAUGAGGGGGAGUAGGACCUAAGUUGAAGGUCAGUUUGGAGAAGUUGUAGGGGCUACAGGGUUACAGAUUUAGUUAGGCACUUAAUUUGUAGCUGAGGAGAAUAAGGCCCUGAGUAAACCUCACCUGAGUGUGCCUAGGAGCUUUUAACGCCUCAGAUUUGAAAUACAGUACUUUAGUACUGUAACCAAACUCUAUCUUUUCAACCACAUACACUAUUCUUUUCCAUGUACCCUAAGCCCCAGUUAAACAAAAUCAUUUGCUAUAUCUUCAAAAGACCUUUGUAGCAAUCCAAGGGAAUGGAUGUCUAGAUUAUUUUUCCCUCAUAUCUUUGCUUAUGAACAUUCUGCCAUUCUAUAAGACCUUUCAAAAUGUCCUUUCUUAGAGAAAGCUGCUUCUGAUUGUGCUAAAACCUAUUAUGAACCACACCUUAUAAUUAAUAAUUUAUAAAUACUUCCUUCAUCACACUUAGCCUAAUGCCCUUCAUUAGUUAUUUAUUUUCUUGUCUGAUUCCAUCUAAUAGCCUUUAAGCCAGAGGGUGAACUAGUUUUAAGUCAUGUCCACAAAUUCUUUGGUGUGUCCCCAAUCAAGAGGUAGAAUAUCAACUUCAUUUCUCUUGAGUGUGGACUGGCCCUCCUAAUUUCUAAUGAAUGCAGCGGAAGUGAUACUGUAGGACUUCUGAGGCUUGGUUAAAAAAGGCAGUAUGCUUCUGUCUGGCUCUCUCAGGAAGUUUUCCCAUGGGGCCAAGUUUUCAUGCUCUGGGGAAGCCCAGGCCAUAUCAGCUGCCAGAUAGUUGAGUGAGGAAGGCUUCUAGAUGACUCCAAUGCCAGCUGCUAUCAGAUUACAUACAACCAUGCGAGAGACCCUGGGUGAGAACUACCUAGCUGGGUCCAUUCAGCCCCCAGAAUUGUGAGAGAUGAUGAUACAUGAUAUUUGUGUUUUAUGCUACUAAAUUUGGGGUGGUUUGUUACACAGCAGUCACUAGAGCAGAGACCUCUGCUAGAAACACUGGAGAACAUCCACUGGGAUGGUCCACCAUCUUCAUGUUUGGCUGCUUCUCAAGCAGUGCCCAUGGCAUGUGUUUUUUCUAAAUCCUCUGUUGACCAGGACUCUUACAAAAGCUUCUCUUUGUCUCAGCAUCCUGAUGCUCUUGGAAUCCUUGCAUUUACAAGAAAUGUACAGACAACUUUCCAAAAAUGGGCAAGCAAAGUUAAAUCAAUAAAGAUACUACUAAAUUCAAGCAAGAAGGAAAGUAGUACAAGUUAAAACAGUUGUUGAGGACAGUUAACCUUACUCUCUUUAAGCCCUUCCUGAAUGUCAGUGGCUCAUUCUAGAUAUUUGUUAGCCACAUACAUGCUGCUUAGUUAAUAUUCAUUUUUGCUUAUUGUCCUAGGAGCUGAAAUGGGCUGUGUAUAAUUGUUUGGAGCUUAAGGUAAAGCAAAGAAAAAGGUUAUUUUAGUUGAUGGUUCUAAUAAUUAAUCCUUUAGAUAUUUUAAAAUAAGAAAUUUUCAGCAAAAUACUGGAUAUUUGUUGUAGAAAUUUUCAAAAAUACGAGUAAAGCACAAAGGAGAAAACAUCAUUUGUUUUUUUUGGUAUAUAUCAUUCCAGACUCUUACUCUAUGCCUAUAGGUUCACGGGAUGCUGUUAUGUAAUAUCAGAUCAUGUUACUCCUCUGCUGAAAAUCCUCCAUGGAUCCCAUCUUACUCAAAGCCACAACUGAAGUCUUUACCAUGACCUAAAAGACCCUAUAACAACAACAACAAAAAAAGACCCUAUAACAUCUGGAGUGUGUGCAUGCAUACACAGAUGUAUGCGUUCCAGUGGCUCUUUCUCUUUAAGUCGUUUCCCCCGCUCUUCCUCCUGUUCCCUUGUGGCCAUAUUGAUCAUUUAAUGUUCGUAAAAUACAGCAGGCAAGCCCCUGCACCAGAGCCUUUGCACUUGCUCAUCUCUCUGCCUGUGACCUUCCUUCAGGUCUCACAAGCAUCCUCUUCCACUUUUUUUUGUUGCUUUGGUUCAGCUGUUGCCUUAUCAGAGAGACUUUCCUUAACCAUACAGUACAAAACAGGAAUACCUUACCAGCCCAUUGAGCUCCCCUCACCCUCACAUCUCCUGUUUUCCUUACCCUGCCUUACUCUUUUUCUGUAUCACAUAUUUGACGAAUUUGGCCCAUGAGCCUUAGUUUGCUGACUCGUGUUCUAGAAGAUUUAGGUGUUAUAUUUAGUCUGUGAUCCAUUUCCAAUUUUUUUUUUUUUACACUGUGGUACAAAGUAUGGGUUGAGGCACUUUUUUUUUUUUUGUAUAUGAACAAUUAUUCUAGCACCACUUGUUUAAAAGGCUGUUCUUUGAUUAUAUUGUGUCAAAAAUCAAUUAUCUGUACAUGUGUGGGUUUGUUUCUGGAUUCUCUGUUCUGCCUGUUUCUGCCCUUGCCCUGUACUACACUAUCUUGAUUGCUGUAGCUUUGUGCUUUGUAGUAAGUUUUGAAAUGAGGUAGUGUGAGUCUUCCAACUUUAUUCUUUUUUUUUCACCAAAUAUUUUAGUUUUUCUAGUUCCUCCCUCCCUCCUUCCCCUCCUCUCUCCGUUCCUUACUUCCCUUUUAUUACAUUGGCUAGGAUCUCCAGUGUGAUGUGAAUGAAAAUGCUGAAAGCUGAGAACCUCGCUUGUUCUGGAACUUAAAGGGAAAGCCUUCAGUCUCACUACUAAGUUUACGUUAGCUUAGGUGUUUUGUAGAUGCCAUUUAUAAAAUUGAGGAAGUUGCCUUUUGUUCCUAUUUCCUAAGACAAUUUAUCAUGAAUGGAUAUUGAAUUUUGUCAAGUGCUUUUUCUCUCAUCUGUUGAGAUGAUUAUAAGGUUUUUCUUCUUUGAUCUGCUAAUAUGAAUUUCACUGAUUUUUGAAUGUUGAACCAACCUUUUAUAUAUUUCUCAAUUCAGUUUGCUAAUAUUAGUUAAGGAUUUUUGUUUGUUUGUUUUUGGGUUUUUUUCUUUCUAUGGCCAGGAAGGAUGUUGGUCUAUAGUUUUCUUGCAGUAUCUUUGCAGGGUAAUGGAGGUCUCAUUAAAAGACGUUGAGACGUGUUCCUUCCUCUUUUAUUUUCUGAAAGAGUUUGUGUAGAAUGGUGUAAAAUUUCCUUUGUGCUCCGCUUUAGCUGUAUCCCACAAACUGUGAUAUGCUGGUUGAAAACAAGGUUGGUUGAAAACAAGGAUGGGGGCAGACUAUAUUGGUAGUAUAAAUAACAUUUAUCACAUUAGACUUGAGCCCACUGCUUGUCUCUCGAGGCAGACAGAUUCCCUGAGUGAAGACAAAGAAUUCUUCCAAAGCAGGCUGAAGAGUCUCUGAAGAGAACAGACUGACCAUUGCCACCAGCAUAGCGCCAGUAUCUGUUCCCACUCCUAAUGAGCUUAUAAUGUUUGUACAGUAAUGAUUUCAGCAGAAGUAUUUUGUUGACUUGAGGUUAGGUUCCAAUUUUUAUAAGACUGAAGGGUUGGGGUUAAUAAAUGUGAGGAAAAUUCAAAUAUCAUAAAAGACCUGCCAUCCGAUGCAUAUAAAGUAACAGCUGUCACUUUAAAUUCUUGUCAAUGAGGUCAGGUUGGGGAUGAAAAUAAUCUAGCAGUCAAUCAGAUGCAGAGCAGUAACUGGACUGAGAAGAACACACGAGGGGUUUUGCCUUUUCUUAUACCACAGAGACAGUGGGAGAAUGAAAAUACAGCAGUGAGAAUUGUGAAAGCAUUCUGUGAAAACAUUAGGUGAUAGCUAGGGGGCACCAAAGUACGGUAACAAAUAAGAUUAGCAGUAAAGAAGAAAAUCUGAGAUAUCAGGAAAUUAUCUUAUUCCACCAUGUUGGGUGGAGGCUGUCUACUUUGUCGUCAUCUCUUUGAUCUGAGGACCUUGGGUUGGCAGUCUUCAUCUGAAGAUCAUCUGCUCCUAGAGGAUUGUUAAGACCCGAGCUUAAGAUCUCCUGGAAAGGUCUGUUUCAUCAGGACUCAAAGUUUUAGCAAGAAAAAAUUGAAAAGGCAAUAUGUGUAAAGCUUGAGACUUUAAAAAAUUUUACUCGAAUUUUAUCUGGACUAGAUGAAUAUGUGAGUAACAACAGAUAACUUUUUGAUUAAUUUUUUAAAAAUAAUUCCUAGGGAAAAGAGGUGGGGGAGGAGGGAGCCAGCUAUAGGCAGAUGAGAUGGGAAAAGUUAAUCUACUAUCUGGUAAUUAUAUAAUUCUGAAAAGUAUAAUUUUAUAUUUAUAGAAAGAGUUGUAGGAUUUAUAGUACAACCUGUGUCCAUUUGAAAGGAUUGUUUCUAUCCUUCUGUCAGAGAUCAUCAUCUUGUUGGGCCAAGAGAAUCAUUGGGAUAUGGAUGCUACAGUUUCCCUUGGGCCCCCUUUAUGAUCGCCUAGAGGCUUCUAGUUCUUCCUCUUUUUGGCUAGAAUGGGAGAAUUUUCCAGUGGUUUACAGUGUCAAGUUCUUGCAUCUCCUGGACCCAUCGAUGGAAAGAAGUGCUUGAAUGAGGUCAAGAAAGUUUGGAGUAUAUGGGCCAGGACAGGACUUGGGAAGUCCUUAAUGAUGGCACAAUGAUCUGAAUAUAACCUGGAUUAGAAGUUGACAUAUUAGGGACUUCUUCAUAUAAAGGUUGCAAUUUUAAGGGACUCUGAAUUAUUAUGGAUCAUUCCAAAGAUGGAAAAGGAGAGAAGAGAAAGGCAAGAUAACAAACUGGAAAGUGCAGAACAGGGUUUAGGUGAAUCCACAAGUGAGGCAGAUUUUUAAUUUUUUACAUUUUAUUGGUCUAGGGAAAGAGUCUUUUAGGGAAAUUUUAGAAUCUGGACUGUAUUUAGACGCCUCUCCUACCAAUUUUAGCUAUAUUUUAAAGUAACUUUAUACUCACAAAGAAUUGCAAAAAAUAGGACUGAGAAUUCCUGUGUCUCUUCACCCAGAAUUCCCCAGAUGGCCCAGUGGUAAGACCUUAUAUAACCAUAGUUCCUUAUCAAAAACAAGAAGUUGACAGUGGUACAGUGCCUUUAACUAACUACAGACUUAUUCAAUUUUUACCAAGUUUUACACGCAUUCUUUUUUUUUUAAUGUAUAGUUCUAUGACAUUUUAUCACAUAUAUAGAUUCUUAUACCUACCACAACAAUCAGGAUACACAACUUUCCCAUUGCCACAAAUAAAUUCUCUCAUGCUAACGUUUUUAUAAUCAUACCUUCUCUAUAGUUGUAACCACUGGCAACCACUGAUCUGUUCUUUCUCACUAUAAUUUUGUCAUUUCAAAAUGGAAAUUUAUAAUUUCUAUAAAUGGAAUCAUACAGUGUAUAACCUUUUGAAAUUGGCUUUUUUUACUCAGGAUAAUAGCCUUGAGAUCCUUUCAAUGUAUUGCAGGUAUCAAUAGUUCCUUCCUUUUUAUUGAUGAGUAGUAUUCCUUUUUAUUGAUGAGUAGUAUUCCAUUGUAUGGACGUACCAAAGUUGAUCCAUUCACUUUUUGUAGGACAUUUUUGAUUGUUUCCAGAGUUCAGAUUAUGAAUAAAGCUGCUAUAAACAUUCAUGUACAGAUUUUUGUGUGGACAGAUUUUUGUGUUUUCCUUUCUCUAGGAUAAAUACCCAGGAGUAUGAUCGCUGAUUCUUAUGGUAAGUCUAUGUUUAACUUAAUAAGAUGCUGCCAAAAGUUUUUCCAAAGUAGAUGUAUCAUUUCGUAUUCCCACCAGCAAUGUAUGAGAGAUCCAGUUGCUCUGUAUCCUCACCAGCAGUUGGUAUUGUGGAUUUUUUCAUGCCAUUCUAGUAGGUUUCUAAUUGAAUUUUUCGUUUUCUACUCUUGUAUUUAGAGAAUUCCUUAUAUCUUAUGAAAAUAGGUCUCACAUGAGAACUGUGAAUUGCAAAUGUAUCUCCUAGUUCAUAUAUUUUCAUCCUCUUAACAGGGUCUUUCUCAUAGCAAAAGGAUUUGAUAUUGAUAAAAUUCAAUUUGUUGGUAUUUUUCUUUUAUGAUCAUGAUUUUGGUGUCAUGGCUAAGAACUGUACCUAACCCAUAAGAUUCUUUCCUAUGUUGUCUUUUAAAAGAUUCAUGAUUUCACUUUUCACAUUUAUAUCUAUGAUCCAUCUUGAGUUAAUUUUUGUGUCAGAUGUGAGGUUUAUGUUGAAGCCUAAAAAUGUACAGUUAUUCUAACACCAUUUAUUGAAAAGCCAUUUUUUCUCCUUUGACUUGCUUUUGCCCUUCUGUCAAAAUCUGUACUUGGUGGGUUAUUUCUGGCACUCUUUUCUGUCCUGUCCCUCUACCAGUACUACAUUGUCUUUUUUUAUAUAUAUAUAUAAAUUUUUAAAAUAUUUAUUUAGUUAGUUGCACCGGGUCUUAGUUGCAGCACAUGGGCUCCUUAGUUGUGGCAUGUGAACUCUUAGUUGUGGCAUGCAUGUGGGAUCUAGUUCCCAGGCCAGGGAUUGAACCCGGGCCCCCUGCAUUGGGAGCGUGGAGUCUUAACCACUGCACACCAGGAAAGUCCCCUUCUUUCUGAAAUUUUUUGUUUUGUUUUUAUAUUUCCAUAUAAAUUUAGAAAGCUUCUCUAUGUCUACAAAAAAUCCUUCUGAGAUUUUGAUAAAAAUUGCAUUAAGCCUGUAGAUCAAUUGGGGGAGACUUGACAUCUUUAAUGUGUUAAGUCAUUUUUCAAUCCAUAAACACAGUAGAUUUCUCUCUUUAUUUAGGUCUUUAAAAAUAUAUUCAUCAGACUCUUGUAAUUUUUUUCAUACUAAUCCUGUGCAUCUUUUGUUGGAUUUAGACUGUAGCAUUUCUCAUUUUUUUGUGGAGCAAUUGUAAGUGGUUUUGUGUUUUUAAUUUCAUUUUUGAUAUGUUUGUUGCUAGUAUAUAGAAAUUCAAUUGAUUUUUGUGUGUGAAUCUUGUAUCUUGCAGACCUGUAAAGCUCAAUUUUAAGUGCUUUCCUCUCUUCUGUUUCCUGGAAGAAAUGGUGUAAAAUUGCUGUUAUUUAUUCUUUCAGUGUUUGAUACAAUUAAGCAAUGAAACCAUCUGGCCCAGAGAUUUCUUUAUCAAAAGGUUUUAUACUGUGGAUUCAAUUUUUUUUAGUAUUUACAAAACUAUUCAGGUUAUCUGUUUCAUUUGGGGUGAGUUUGGAGAGCUGUAGCUUUUGAGGAAUUUGUUGAUUUUAUCCAAGUUGUCGAAUUUAUGGGCAUAGAGUUGUUUUCCCUUAUUAUCUUUUUAAUGUCUGCUGAGUCUGUAGUGAUAUUUCUUCUUUCAUUCAUGAUGUUGGUAAUUUGUCUCAUCUCUUUCUUGUAGAUAGAAAAAUACUUUUUUAUCUAUUGGGUCAAUUUCCUUUAAAUCGUGUAUAGACUACUUACAUUUAAUGUAAUUUUGGUAUGUUAGGAUUUAAGUCUGCUAGUUUGUAUUCUCUUUGUUCUUUCUGUUUUUCAUUGAUCUCUCCUACCUUCUUAUGAGUUACUUGAACUUUUUUUAGUAUUCCAUUUAAAUUGAUUUACAGUGUUAAUAAGUGUAUCUCUUUGUAUAAUUUUUAGGUGGUUAUUGUACAUUUGCAUAAAUAAGUUAUAUGUAGCAGCCUACCAGUAUCCGCAUUAUGCCACUUCAAAUGGAAUGUAGAAACAGACCAUUGGAUAGUUGGGAUUUUGUUUCCUUUUUGUGCUAAAGUGCCUGUCAGAUGAACAACAUUGCUUAUGUCAGAUUUCUCCAAAGUGACCAUUGCAAUACCUAAUUGUCCUUGAUGAAAUUGUGCGACUUGGAAAGAUGUGUACAUGAUUUAGCAAUGUAACAGGUAUGAAGGAAAAGGUAUUUGGCCUGAAGGGAAUGCAAACUUAGACUAAAAAGUUCUCAUGAGGAUUAUUGCAUUGAUUAUGUGCUUGUGCAACUGCAUGUCUCCAGAAUAUGGUCAUGGACCAGAUUGCCAACUGAGGGCUGGUUUUAAAACAAGAAAAAGAAAAAAGCAGAUCUAGGAAGACACAACUAUAGAAAGUAAGUCUUAAAAUAUCUUGAAAGGUGACUGUUGUGGGUUGAAUUGUUUGCCAAAAAGUUACGUUGAAGUCUAAACCCCAAGGUACCUGUGAAUGUGAGAUUAUUUGGAAAUAGGGUGAAGUUAAGAUGGGGUCAUACUGGGUUAGGAUGGACCCGAAAUCCAAUGGCUGGUGUCUUUAUAAGGAGAGGGAGAUUUGGAGACACACGAAGAGGAAAGUAGGCCAUGUAAUGACAGAGGCUGAGAUUGGAGGGCUGCAGCUAUAAGCUAAGGAAGACCAAAGAUUGCAGCAACCACCAGAAGCUAAGAAGGAUUCAAGUAAUACAGUGACCCAAGGCAGAGUUUGUUCUAAGGAUGCAGGGCUGAUGAGAUGAAAUGUUCUGAACUUAGCAGCCAUCAGAACCAGCCUCACUGACAAUUUAUCUGGUAUGUGUCCCUCACUAUAGGCUUUUCUCUUAUAGAGGAGUAAUUGUCAAGAAAGUGGGGACACAGUUUUUGAGGCACUAGCCUGCUGUGUUCCCCCCUUUGCCUGGCAAAGAAUAAAGCCACCCUUUCUUUAUCCUCCAAAAAAAAAAAAAAAAGUGGACAACUGGGCAGAUAAUAGGAAUGCUGUGUUAAAUGCUUAGCAGCCGAAUUUUACCAAGGAUCAGUACAAGAUCAGAAUUCCAAAGUCCCAAGAACGAAAUAUAAGGCUAACAUUGAAGGGCUCAGCAAAUUAUUUGGAACUCACAUUCAGCUGCAGUUGUCUUGGCAAGGACGGCCUUGAGACUGGAGAUUCAAGGAGUUUGAGAUUUCCACACUAUUUCUAAGUCAAGCAUGGUUUGUGUCAGGGAAGGGUCUAAGCCAGAUCUCAGGAAGAUCCACUGUUGUCAAAGCUCACCAGCCAGAGUCCACCAUGAACAGAACUGAGGUUAAAGUGAGGUUUUUUUUAGCUAGGUGAGGACCUGAGGGGCAUCCUUUUAAGAGGUUUUGGACUUGUGAUUCAAAGAAGGGUUAACAGAAGUGGAGGCUGGUAGUGAUUUGGGUGCUGUCAGGAGCUUGGGGCUAUUCAGUGAUUGUGUACCUUGGUAAUUUUAUCUAGGAGGCAGUACACUUAGAGCUAGAGUUACUGUUGGCAAAAAAAAAAAAAAGUCAUGUCAGAAGCAGGAGGUAUAUAAUUACUUUUGUGGCUUUGUCUGUCUCUUGUUUGAGACAUGUUCACUGAGUGGUUGUGCUCUGUCUCAGUCCACUGUGUUCACAGAGCUGCCUUUUCUGAUCAUUGUUGACAUAUUGUGACCAUUGUUUAUAUUUAGAUGGGACUGUUCAGCCUUUCUAUUAGUAGCCAAGGCUCUUUUUCCUUUUCUAGGGGCCUGGCCUGGAGACAGCAUUUAUCACUUCUGCCUACAUUCCAUUGGUUAGGACACAGUCAUGUGGCUACACCUAAGAGGCUGGGAAGUAGAUUUUAGCUGUGUGACAGAAGGAAAUGUGAAUUAAGUUUAGUAAUUACAUAACACUCUUUUUGUUGUUGUUCUUCUUCUUUUAAAACAAUAUUUUCUCUCUUUAUCCCCAUUCCCACUCCCAUAAGACAUACACCUUAUUAUUUAAUAUGUGUCCUUCAGAUCUACCUUCCAUAUAUUUAGAUUCUAUAGAUUUUUAUGAAUCUUUGAAAGAUGCAUAGGAUUGCUUUGAGUGCAUUCUUAAAAUGUAAAUAAAUGUUCAUUGUAUAUCAUUCAAUGAUUAUUAUUGAAAAUUAAUGAUUAUUAACUUUUUACUGUGUUUUUGAGAUCUAUGCUGCUACAUAAAAAUCUAAUUUAUAUCUCCUGAUUGCUUCAAAAUAUUACAUUUUAUUCAUAUUCAUUUGACAUUUUCUUAUUUCACCAAGUACAGAACGUCCAAAAGCUUUACUAACUUAAGUUGUCAUAUUUAUUCGUCCAGUUAUAAAGUACCCCUUAGUGGCUUAAGAUAAUGACAGUCAUUUUACUCACAGAUCUGCAGUUUGGACUAGGAUUGUCAGAGACAGCUCAUCUCUGCUCCAUGCAGUAUUAGCUAGUGCUGGCAGCUUCUCAGCUGGUUGGGGCUGGAGUCAACUGAAUGCUCAGUCACAUCUGGUGGUUGAUGUUGACUGUUUGCUGGGGCUGUUUGCCGGAGCACCUACACAUAGCAUGUCCAUGUAGCUGCUUGGCUUCCUCACAGUGUGGUGGCUUGGUUCCAAGGGCAGUUGUCUCAAGAGAGCAAGGCAGAAAGGAGUGCAUGAGUUUCUUGUGACCUUGUCUCAAAGUCACGUAGAGUCACUUCCACUGUACAUUCUUGGUUGAGGAGGACACAGAGGUCUUCCUAGGUUCACAGGUAGAAGGUGUAGACCCCACCACCCAAUAGAAGAAACGUCAAUGUUACACAGUCCAAAAAAAAAAAAGGCAUGUGGAAUGGGAUAUAUUGUUGUAUCCAUCUUUGGGAAAGACAAUCUGCCACAUUUGUGAAAAUUAAGAAUCUGAUUUGGAUAUAAAACAUGAUUUUGAGACUAAUUAGCAAAGAUUUUAACUGUAAAAAUACAACUUUUUAAUAGUCCAAAUACACUCUUUCCUUUUGGACCAAGUACUAGACUGUGGCCAACAAACUCUUGCUCCCUGUAUCCCUAGACUUUUUCUCUAAAGUUAUCAAUAUCUUUCCCCCCGGUCCUUAUUUUUUAUGUGAUCAGUGUAACAGAUGAAAUCAACCACUUCCUAGAACAUGAUUACAAAACCUAUGCACACCUUGGGUGUCAUAAAGAGAAAGUGAUUUUUUUUUUCCUUCAGAAAAUACAUCUUAUGAGAAAGAAAUAGUAACUAGUUCUCAGGCUUUCUCCUUUUGUUUUGUGCUGCUGACCAGAGGAUCUUUUAUGUGCUGGAUAUUCUGAUUCGAUUCGAUGCCCUCAAUACACAAUGUGACUAUUCUGAAAGCUUAUUGUUUCCAUCACUAGAAAGUAGAUCCAUAAUUUUUGUGGUUCUCAUGCUUUUUUCUCCAACCUGUUCUCUCCUGAGACUCCAUUAAACAUGAUGGUGCUUGAGGAAAGCACUGCCAAAAUAGCUGUCUGCUUUUCUUUUUUUUAAUUUUGUUUUGUUUUUGUUUUUGUUUUUUGCGGUACGUAGGCCUCUCACUGUUGUGGCCUCUCCCGCUGCGGAGCACAGGCUCCGGACGCGCGGGCUCAGCGGCCAUGGCUCACGGGCCCAGCUGCUCCACGGCAUGUGGGUUCCUCCCGGACCGGGGCACGAACCCGUGUCCCCUGCAUCGGCAGGCGGACUCUCAACCACUGCGCCACCGGGGAAGCCCUGUCUGCUUUUCUUAAGGUGAUAGGAUGUGAGGAGAAUGGGGAAGUGUUCUAGCAAUCAGUAGGCCUAGGAGAGGUUGUAAUUGAGUUCACCUAGGCCUAUCAAGUCUUGAUUUCUAUACAUCAUUUUAGCCAUAUCCCUCAAAAUCCAGAAAGACUGUAGCCAGGUAGAUGAUAGUGCAUAGCAUAGCGGUGCUUCCCUUUUAGAUAAAGUUUUCACCAAAGCAGAAAAUCACAGGUAAAACAGUAAGGUGGGCCAAUCAAUCAAGUCCAUCCCUCUUUCUUCUUGAAUCUCUAGGCCAAGAUGAGAUUGGUCUUGGGCUUUUGUUUUCCCUCAUUUGUUUGUUUAGUGGAAAUUUUCAAAUGUAUACAAAAGUAAUGAGAAUACAAUAGUGAACUCCCAUGUACCCAUCCCCUAACUUUAGCAAUUAUCAGCCCAAGGCCAAUCCUGCAAUGUAUGUUCUCCACCUUCCUUCCCCAAAUGUAUUUUAAAUGCAUUAUUUUAAAGCAAAACCUUGAUACAGUUUCAUCUGUUAAGUACUCAGUAUGUAUGUGUAAAAGAUAGAGACUCUUUAUAACCACAAUAACAUUAUCACACAUUUAAAAAUAAGCAAUUCUGGAGGCUGUUGAAACAUGCAAAAGGUGUAUUUGUAAUCGAGGAGCAUGAAGCAAAGUUACAUAACAUGAAAAAGGAAGUUUUAGUUUCCAAAGUCCUGGAAGAGGUUCCAGUUCAGCAGGUCUGUCUGAUGUUGAGAGCUACACCCGGUCUUUCUGUCCUUCUAAUAAAUCCCCUCCUUUUGUGAUAAGACUGAUUUGUUAGACUUUCAUGAUUUACACUUGGAACUGUCAUGACAGUCCUCCUGCUAUGUAGUUACCUUAAUGUUGCUCUUUAUUUCUCUCCAUACUCUUUGAUUUCUCACACUACUCAAUUUAGUUAUAAUAAUAAUGCCAUCAGCUCCCAUUUAUUGAAUGCCUAUCACGUGCCAGACACUCUACCAAAUACUUGACAUUUAAACCUCACAACAACCCACUGAGGACGGUAAUUUCCCUAUUUUGUAGAGGAAGAAAUAAGAAUUUACAUGGAUUAGGUCAUUUGCUCAGGUUACACAGUUAAUAAGAACCAAAAUCCUACCCAGAUCUUUCUACUCCUCAGUCUGUUUUCCCACUCUGCCAUGCUGGACCUGACAGGCAUGAUUUUUGUUUCCUAAAAAUCCAAUACAGUUCUAUAGCAUCAAGCUGUGAGUUGUUCAUCAAACCGUUUUCUCCUAUUGCUAGGCACAUGACUAGACUCCUUCACUGCAGUUAGGCUUGGCCACAUGGUUGAAUUCUACCUAUAAAAGGUGAACAGAAGAGUUAUGCCCUAUUUCUUGGCCAGGCCCAAUAAAAUUUCCCAUUUGCUGUCCUCUAUGCUCUGCUUCUGCUAUUUAGUUUAUGGUGCCGAAAGUGACCUUGGAAGCCACAUGUUGACGAUGGCAAAAACCGACAGCCUGGGUCCCUGACAGAGGCCCCUGCCACCAAUCUCAAAUCUCCUUGAACUAUUUAUAUGAGCAGGAGAUAAACUUCUGUUGUAUUUAAGCCAUUAUGUAUUUAGGGGUCUACUUAUUACAGUAGUUAGCCUUCCUUAAUUUUUACGUACUAUUUCAAUUAUGCUUUCCUGGGUAACAAACACCUCAAAAUUUUAGUGGCUUAAAACCACAGUCUUAACUCAUGAUUCUGUGAAUCAGAAACUUAGGCUCUUGCCUAUACUUGUUCAUGCAACUACAAUCAGCAGGUGGGUCAGCUGGGGGCUGACUGGUCUAGCAUUGCCUGCCUCACAUGCCUGGAGAUAAGAAUGGCUGCUGGCUGGACCACGUGUCUCCAGUAGGUUUGCCUGGGGUUAUUCACGUGGUAGUGGAAGUGUUCUCUGCAGCAAGAGCGGGCAAGCCGCGAUCUGCAAGUACUUUUCAGGCUUCUGCUUGCAUGUGUUUGCCAGUGUACCAUUAUCCAAUGCAAGUCACAGAGGUAGAGGGAAAUGUAAUUUAUUAGGGAGCAUUUACUGCAGCACUCUCCCAUAUAUACUAACAGUACUAAUGCACAAAUUAGGCAAAUCGUUCACAUAUGUACAACAGCUCAGUCGCAUAUUUGACAAUAGAGUGCAGCUUUUUUUGGUUUUUUUUCUAUUUUUGGCUGUGUUGGGUCUUCGUUGCUGUGCGUGGGCUUUCUCUAGUUGCGACGAGUGGGGGCUACUCUAAGUUGCGGUGCAAGGGCUUCUCGUUGCGGUGCAAGGGCUUCUCAUUGCUGUGGCUUCUCUUGUUGAGGAGCACGGGCUCUAGGCACGCGGGCUUCAGUAGUUGUGGCGCACAGGCUUAGUUGCUCCGCGGCAUGUGAGAUCUUCCUGGGCCAGGGCUUGAACCCAUGUCCCCUGCAUUGGCAGGCGGAUUCUUAACCACUGUGCCACCAGGGAAGCCCUAGAGUGCAGCUUUAAGGCUGUUUUCAUAACCCUUGAAUCAAAUUGUAAUAUCGGGGUUGGUUUUAAUAAAAAUUAUAUUGAUUUUGUUUUAAAAUUACAUUUCAGGUUUAUAUAUAAGAAGUGAAAUAUUUACCAAUACAUGAUAAAUUCAUAGCAUUGGCACUAUAACAGAGAUGUUGUAGCUUAUGGCCUAAAUUUACCUGAGGUUUAAUGAAUCCAAUUUAUCAAGAUCCUAUGGAUUUGUAGCCAAAUCCAUACUUUAAAACAGUCUUUAAAGGGCUAAACUUAGAUUCACCCUUAUUUAGAGUAACUUGUAAGAAAAUGAUUAAGUUCUAAGCUCAGUACUUCUUCACUUUGCUUAACUUUUCCUUUAUUAGGCCACAUUUAACCACCUGUAAGGGCAGAAUGCUUUCCUCCACUGCUCAGGGCAAAGUACUCUGCAGUGCCUUACCUCCACAAUGCUAUUGAUAUGGUGGUUAAAGGCCUGAGUUCUGGAGCCAGAAUGCGCAGGUUCACAUCCUGUCAUUUCUGCUUGUUGUGUGACCCUGGGCAAGUUAACUACUCGGUACCUCAGUUUCUUCACCUAUAAAAUGGGAAUAAUUACCACAACCUAACUCAGGGCUGUUAUGAGGAUUAAAUGAGAUAAAGUAUCUAAAAAAGCCCUUAGUUCGGAGCCUAACCCAGGUUAUAAGAGGUCAUACUGAUUUUCUUUUUAAAUUUCAGCUUUCUUGAGGUAUAAUUGACAAUUUUAUUUUUAACUACUCUUCAGACCUAUAUAUGAGAAUGAAAUAUUUACAAAUACAUUAUAAACUUAGGUUUGUAGGAGAUUGCCUAUUUUCUUAGGAGAUGCAUGCUAAAAUAUUGAGAUAAAGUCUCAUUUGAAAGUUGUAUAGCAACUUUCAAAUGCUAUACAAAAAGAAAAAAUAUGUGGAAAAUAUAGAACGUUAAAUAUGGUGCCAUGUUAAUACUUGCUAAUAUAUGUAGGAUAUGAAUGUUCAUUGUAUUAUGUCAAGUUUUCUGUAGGUUUGAAAUCUUUCGUAAUAAAACUUGGAGGGAGGAUGGAAAUACUUUCCCCAGUUCUCUCAGUGUCUCAUUUUUCUUUUCAUUUCUUCUUCCUCCCUCUGUUAUCUCUCCCAAAUUGUCUCUCAUAUCUCUCCCACGCAGGGCCCCUUGUCUCUCCUCAUCUACAGGUUAUCUCUUUAUUAUGUACGUGUUAAUAGCCGCAGCUUAGUGUAAGUGGUUAAACAUACAAACUCUGGAGCCGGACUGUCUGUUGGAGUAUCUGCCAUCUCACUUAUUGUGCGACCUUGGGCAAGUUACUUUAAACUCUCUGUAGCUCAGUGUCCUCCUAUGGUUAUCGUAAGGAGUAAAGAAACAAUGAGUAUCUAUAAACGAUUAGAAGAGGGUCUGGUAUAUUGUCAGCCUCUGUAGGAAUUUGCCAUAAUGAUAAUAAUAAUCUCUUGGUGUCCCUCACGUCUUUCCUUCUGUUCAGUGGUGAUAGGCCCUGGAGCCUUCCUCCUGAGGAGAGGGAGUUGGGAGAAGACUGCAAAUGCUUCUUACUUAAUACCUUUUUUUUUUUUUUUUUCCCUGAACACAAAAGGAAUUGAAGUGGGCAAAAAUCCUCCUGAAAAAUGUUUCCACGUUUAGAAUAAAUAUGUUCUACUUUUUUUUUGUUUUCUGAUUUCCCCCUGAAAAGAUAAUUAUUUAACAGUAAAAUCUUGCAUUAACCCUGGACGUUGGUAGUGGCAUCAACACCUUACCCUUAACCUCACAGGCCCAUCUAGUCUGCACUGUCUUCUCCUUUCUCACUCCUGAAAUGGCACAGCCCUUCUUCCUGUACGAAGGUCAGCCUCUCACCUGUGCUGGAGAUCCCAGCCUCCUCACCUUCUGAGGAACCUUGCAUUCUCAUUUACUCCUUCUCUCUUCUGUACUCACCUCUCCCUCCCAAUUAUGUCUUUUCCAUGAACAUUUAACUCCUUCUCAUCUUAAGUUGGACGAGGGAACCCUCCCUAGAUUCCAUCUCCCCUUUGAGCUACUGUCUUAUCUUUUCUGCUUCACAUAAUAUUUCUUGAAAGAGAUUCUCAUUUUCCAGUUACUUCUCAGCCCACCCCAGUGGCUUCCCUGCUGUCAGUUUAACAAAACAGCUGUUACUAAGGUGACCCAUAAACCUGUAUGUCACUAAAUCCUCGGGCAUUUUUUAGGACUAACGUUAUUACUUUGACUUACAAAAACAUUCAGCAGUUCGACUGUAAUCUCCUUAUUGAAACCUCUUUAUUCACCAUUGGCUGUUCUGUGAAUAAUAAAGUACUGUAUCUCUGACCCAGGAGUCUCAGGUCUCAUGCUAGCAUCCAUGAAACAGUGUCUGACUUAUUAAAUAACUUGUGAGUGGACUAAAAUACAGUCCCAGACUUGACACUAACCAUCGUAUUCCUAGCAGCCCCACAGUGCCUGGCAUGAAGUAGGUGUUCAGUAUUUAUUUGUGAGAUGGCUGGAUGGAUGGAUGGACUUUCUCAGCUCUGCCAAAACAUUGCAGGGAUAAGACCUUUCAGAAGAGCCAACCAGGUUCCGGGAUUGUGAGGGAGACAGCUGAGAGAACGCGAACAUUAAUUUGAUCUGAGGUUUCUCUGGGUUUAUGUGUCUAAUUGGAGAGUAUGUUGAUCAGCCAGCUUCUCUUCUGAAAUGUAAACCAUCUGACAGAGGUAAUCCUAUUAAUUCCAUUUUAUUCUCAAUUAGUUGAGUUGGCGUAAUGUUCUAAUAUUUAGCUGAGUGUAGCGGCGGUGCGUGGGGAGGGCUGAUGUGGGAGGUCGGCAGCCUGCGGCGGGCAGAGGCCUGGGUUCUCUUUCGAAGGGGGAAUUCUGGAUAUUCCUGGGUUUCUUAGAGAGGGUGUGCAGGUGGGGGAACCAGGAAGUGAGAGAGAGAAGUGGGAUAACAGCAAAGGCACGCUUGCUCAGCCUCAAGAUCUGCCCGAAGCCUGCUGUCGGUUGCUGUGGACACACCAUAGAAAUUCAUCUCUGAAGCUGCUGGUGCCAGAGUGCUUCAGACUUUAACUGUCCCUGUAAGGAUGGACUGUUCCCCUUUUACAAACAGCAUUUUUUAAAGUAACCUAAGCAAAGUUUUACGUAGGAUAAAAUUGUUUUCAGGACAGAUAGAGUGAAAAGAAUGCAUGAGAAUAUUAAAUGUACAACUAUUAAGAUUUCUAGAAUUAGAAACUGAAUAAUUGUGUAGAAAGGCAAACAGCCUUUAGGAUGACAGAGGGGUUCUUGGAGUUGACAAGAGUGACAAGAAUUAUCUAGGGUUUGACUCUCAACAGGAGGGAUAUCACCCUAAGGGGGUAAAAAUUGGUUCUUGGGGGACAAAAAACGGCCUGCAUGGCCAGGGUACCUAAACAGAAAUAUAGUAUAUUUGUGGUAUUAGAAUUUCAUGGUGGCAAAGGGCUUUAGGUAAAUAUGUCUUAAAAGUCUCCUUACAGGGCGGUAACAAAAAAAAAAGUUGAGAAACACUGGACCUGUUGAUUCAAAUGGAAGGAUUUUGUUGAUCACCAGUGGGUCCCCCUGGGAAGACGAACUGGAAAUGUGUGUUGACUCAGCAGAAGGAAAAAGAUCUCACAUGUUGUCUAGUGAGUAUCCACUGGGAGAUCUAAAAGCAGCGGUGGGCAGCUGGGCCAUCCCCCAGAGCUGCUCAGUAAGUGAUGAGCUUCUGGCCCCAUACAGAUUCAGUGCCCAGGAGGCCAGGCUGAUGGCCCCAGACACACGCAGCCAGUUCCUGGACACGGCAAUAGGACAGUAUGAAUUGGGUGGAAGUUCGGAUUCCAGUAGUUAAACCACCCACCUUCCACCCUCCCGAUUUGUUUUGCUGUGUUCUGUUCUUAGCUACCUCCCUCCCUACUCUUCUCUCCUGCUACCUCUCAAGACUCCCAUUAUUCAUUUCUGCUGCAGGCAGGGGGAUCAGUAGCAAUGUUGAAUGAAAAGAAUGCUAGACACAGAACCACAUGCUGACAUCAAAGAAAGAAGUGACCUUCAGCCAUACAAUUUUAGUGUGGAAAGCCAGAUAGUACACUCUCAACAUUUGUGAAAUAGAUUAAAAUGCAAGUAGACUUUUAGCUUUCCUAAUCCCUGCUUCUGAAUAGGACCUGGACAUGCAGGUCCUUAACAAAAUAAAAAUGAAGACAAUAUCAGGUAUAGGGAAUGGUUAGUUCUUACCCCACAGGUAUUUGGCCUUGGAAAUGGCUUCUGGUCUCUCAGCAGCAUAUAAGUCUAGACUUUGCUAUCAGUUCGAAAAUGGCAAUGUUGUUUCAGAGGGGCUCCUAAGUGUGGGAAGGAUGGCCUAGCACAGUCUCCUCUUUUGCCCUAUCCCUGAUGCUCAUUAAGGUCAUGCUAGAAGGGAAAGGUCUGAUUAGAUAACCAACGUUGCUACUUCUGGAGCUCUACUACAUGUCAGGCACUGUUUUAAGUGCUUUACAUAUAUUAAUUACUUCUCAUAACCAAACAGCCCUGCAAAGGGAGCACUAUUAUUACAGAUGGUAAGCUCAGGCACAGAAAAGCUAAGUCACUUGUCCAAGGUCACACAGCUUCUGGUAGCACUGGAAUUUGAACCCAGAUCUUCAGUACCCACAGAGCUUGCUGUAACUCUGCUGUUUGUAUGCCUUGGGGCCAACUCUCCCUAACUUAACACUGUCUUUGAAGUCAUGGAUGAAUGGGCUUACAAUGAAGUUGCUCUUAACACCAUGUACUUUGGAUUUUUAUGUAAGUAGAACAUUGGGUCAGUCAUCAGGCCCCCUAAGCAGUUGAAUCCUUUAGGCCACUUACAUAAUGGACUAACUGCUGGAUACGUGCUGCCCUCUUGUGAUGAAAAUAAUCCCAAUACGACCUUCUCGAGCUCUCCAGAAUGCACCUACUUCCUUUAGUCCAGUCCCAUGGUUGGGGGGUAGAAGAUACGUGGGCUCUGAAAAUUCAGACUCUUGUGUCACCUGACAUUUUCCAGGGCGUUCCUAGCCUUGUGACUCUCGGUCAGUGAGGCUUGUAAACGUGGUUCCAGAGUCUGUAAAUUUUAGCACCAUUAAUACAGAAGAGACCAGGCUUCCCAAAGGGGCACUAAAGAGACCCCACCUGUGUCCUUGCGGGGAGAGUUCAUUUUGUUUAACUUGCCCUAGUGAAUUGGGAUCAGGUUUAAGAGGCUUGGCAGAAAAAAGGUCAGUUGGAGAAUGAACUGAAGGUCACAAACUAUCAGAACAGAGGGAAAAUAAAGCCAGCAGAAGGCCUGUGUUCGGGUUCUUGCCGUAGUGAAUACAGCGUGUGGCCUUGGGCAAGUCGCUUUUGCUCUCUGACGCCAGUGUCUGCGCUGGCAGAGUAAGAGGGGUGAACUAAGUGAUCUCAAAAUCUUAGAUAUUACCAGGUCCAACCUUCUGCAUUUGCCAAAAUCCCUUUCCUAAAGGGUGUUGCUUCACCACCACCACCCCCAUUUUUAUAGGCACCCUCAUUAGUAAAACAAGAUACAUAUCCACACUCACUAGUUCUCAGUUUCCUCACUCGGGAAAUAACCCCUACUGGACAGGGUUGUUGGGAAGAACAAGUUUCCAUUUGACACAGUGCUAAGGGGUUCAGUCAGACUGGGUUUGUUUAGGCAAAGACACACGCACACAUACAAAUGCUUAAAAUCAAGGAAGACUGAUUUUGAAGAUACACCUACCCAGUUAUAAGUGACUAUCUUCACAGUGCCACUUGAAAACAUGCUGAUUUAUGGGUUACUCAUUAUUCCCUGCAGCUGUAGUUAUUACCAGCGCCUGCCUGUGGCUGUAACACAUCUAUGUGUGUGGGCAGUGCCUGGGUACCGUGUAGGGUGAACGGUCCAGGGCAGGGAGUCUCAUUCGUAUUCAAAGAAGACAUUACAUUGUUCUGUAACUUCCACCUGCUUCCAAACCAUUUAUUAGACUCCUAUACUUGACGGGUUCACGUAGAUUGAAAAAAAAAAAAUUCAUAGCAAGGAUCUUUGACUUGCUAAUCCCACUCCAAAGAAAUAAUCCUAAAGAACUUUCUACUUCCAUAGAAAUGUCUGUAAGAAUCACCACGACCACCACAGCAAGUCUGGAAACCUGAAUGUCCAUCUAACACUUGGAACAUAAUUGAGCAGAUUAUCAAACCAAUAGAAUACAAAUGAUAAUUAUAAAGGUUAACAAUGUGGGAAAAUGAUUGAAAGAAAUUGCAGGUGUACACUGUGAUUAUAACUAUGUAAAAAGAUGUCAAAAUAGUCAACCUUAAAAAAGAAAUUCUGACAUGGAUGAACCUUGAGGACAUCAUGCUAAGUGAAAUAAGCCAGUCAUAAGAAGACAAACACUGUAUGGCUCCACUUAUAUGAGGGACCUGGGAUAGUCAGAAUCAGAGAGAAAGAAAGUAGAAGGGUGGUUGCCAGGGGCUUGGGGGAUGGGGAAAUGGGGAAUUAUUGUUUAAUGAGUAUAGAAUUUUGGUUUUACAAGAAGAGUAAUUCUGGAGAUCAGCGUUGGUGAUGGCUACACAACAUAUGGAUGUGUUUAUACCACUGAAAUGUACACUUAAAAAUGAUUAAGAUGGUAAAUUGUAUGUGUAUUUUACCACAACAAAAAAGUCUCCGAGUAGGCAAAAUAUGGAAAAAUUUUUGUGUGUUAGCAUUGUGUUAUUAUAAGCGUUAUUUGAAUCUUUUCCUUUAACAUUGUGAUACUGCUUUUGUAACACAAAUGUGACAGAAAAAGUCAAGGAAAAAAAUUCGAGUUAUUUCGAUAUUUGUUAUUUGCCCAAAAAAGCACCUGAGUAGUCUUGGGGAAAAUCAGAAACUUACUUAACAUCCUUGAACUUAUUUUAUAAUUUACUAUUGUUUAAAAUCUUUUUUUUUUUUUUUUCAUUGCAGAUCAUCGGGGGCCUGUAAUCUUUUCAGUUCUUAGUGCUUCUAAAAGUUUUAAGCUGGUCUUGGGUGCAGUUAAUUCAGUUUUAAGUGAGAAUCACGCUGGGAUGGCCCCUGGGCCCUGCAGCUCUGCUGCCAGCCCAUCUGUGUGGUAACAUGAGCUUUGUCCUCCUUACCAGCUAAUUCCACUUUCAUUAAAAUUCCUCUCUAUGGACCUGGGAUAAUGGUCAUGGUUCUGCCUUUCAGCUCCAGAGCAAGGAUUUUUUUUUUCCUGUAAGUGAGCAAUUGUUACUGGAAAUAGAUGUGUGUAACACCUGGAAGUGGAUGAAAACACCAGUGAGCCAAAUGCUCCUUCCCAGUUGGGCAGCUGAAAGGGACACCUGGCAAAGGCUGGAGAGCCUGGCUUUGUGCAGUGGUGCCGGCUCCUGCUCUGCUCUUACUGUGCAGUGAAGACCUGGCUGUGCCUCCCUCUGUUCAGUGAGUGACACUUAAAUGGUAGGGCUCUUUGGUAAGAAUGAUGACAACUAACAGCUAUGCUUUUCACUGACGGAGCCAGGAUAUUGCAGGAAGCUUGAUGUUGAAUGUUUUUAGACUUGACUUUGAGAACUUCCAGUCCCAUAUUUGACCUUGUUGGGAAGUUCCCUAAGCCUAAGAGUGUAAAGAGGACACCUGGGGGUGCCAUUGUGAGCAGAAAUGAGAAACGUUGGUUUAAUGAUAUUGUAUAUUAAGUACUGACCCUGCACUGGGCAUUGUGCUAACUGCUCUCCAUGCUUCAGCUCAUUUAAUCCUCACAACAACCCUGGGAGUCAAUACUCUGGGAUUCCUAUUUUUCAAGGAGGAAAUUGAGAUUCUGACAGUCUUAAGAUGUGGCCCAAAGCCCCACAGUGAUUUGACAUGGCUUAUUUUAAUAAGUUCCAAAUCAGCAAGGACAAGCCAUAAAUGUAGUUCUGAAUUACAGGAGCUAUAGUUUCUCUCCCUAAAUCAACUCAGUUCCUGUGGAAAGAAAGAGUCAUAUCUUAAGUUUGUGGAAUUCCUUUAUUUCCCCAAAUUUUCUGUUAUCUUUUUCUUAAUUAGGAAAAGUCUCCACUUCUCUGCACAGAAGCUCACCUGUGGGUAAUGGAGAACUUCAGUGAAUUAGGAGCCUGAUUUUACUUUUAUAAGAAAAAUAGAAAAUCUAUCAUUCACCAUCUAAAAGACUAAAGUAUUUCCAAGUUAGAAUUUAAGCCAAUAACACAAAAAUUCAAUUUCCCUUAGAGGCAGCAGUUUUAAUUUUGAUAGUCUCUAAAAGCAGUAAUAUUUGGUAGUUUCUGGAUACAUUUUAGACUCUCAAAAGUUUAGUUUUAGCAGCUUAAUAAAGUAUGAAUUUGUCAGCUGAGAAGUGUGGUUCUCUCACUCGGCAAGCCUGAAGUCUGAAGCACCCUUGACCAGUGCUCAUUCCUUUGUGCUUUCUGGGCAUAUCUGCUGCCCAGAAUCUCUGGUAGAGAGUUGCUGCCUUAGGGGCUAUUAGGCAAAUACCCAAAUCUGGGGGUGUGGGCAGAGUGGGUAGGAGCCGCCAAAGCAGUGCCUUAGGGGAAUGGCCCCCAUGUGCUGAGUGACUGUCACAGGAUUUUCCCCCUAACUUUCAGGACCAACUUCCUGAAUUGUAUCCUUGCUAACUGGGGCUGCUGUAUAAAGUCAGGCUGGACUUCUGAGAACUCCAAGGUACUGCUGGAGGGCCCCCUCACCCCUGCCCCUCUCAUGCUUGGCCCGUCAGCUCGGUGCCUCUUGCCACAGCGGGUCCAGGCCCACCUCUGUCCUCCCCUCGGCAGUGAACAGCCGAGGAAGAUAGUGGACGUCAAACCCGGCCUGCCAGGGCCCAUCAUGGCACGGUGCCGAGGGAUGUGAGGUUCGGCCAUGCCAGCGUACCCUGGCCCCAGCCACUGGGGACUCGUUAUUCCCUCUGAGAAGCCACCUGUGUGGAUCGAGUGGUCAAAUGGAGAGGCCUCAGAUGCUUCCUCUGCUUUUUUCGGUCCCUUGGUGGGUAGAGAGGCCUGCGAAGGAUCACACUGAGGAUGCCUCCUGCCUUCCCUCGUCAGGCUCUCCUCAUAGCACGUCACCCCAGGGCCCCACCCCAUGCAGUAAGUGCCUCUGAAGGGGUCACAGUGUGCUUGCCAGGCCGAGUCCCUUUUUAAAAUCCCAGGCUCAGGCAGUUAGAAAAAAUGAGUGUUUUCAGUAUUUUACUAACAAAUGAAUUGGCAAAAGAACAAGUUCUCUGGUGAAACCUUCUCCUUUCCCCCAUUUAGCAUCCACCAGGUGCCCGCCAUGGUGGCAGGGGUCUGACCUGCUUGCUGGGUUCUCAGCGGCUUGCCUUGCCUCCAACUCAGUCACUCGCACAACUGCUCGAGGGCAGGAAGAGACUUCCCUUCCUCAAAAGGGCAGGAGAGAGAGAGAGAGAGAGAGAGAAGCUCCUGUUUGGAUGCCGGAGCCACAUGGGCAAGCCAGGCCUUAUUCCUUUUUAAGGACGGCGCUGAUUCUUCUUCCUGGGACAGAGAACCUCUGCCCACAGCAUCAGUCUUCCGAAGGUCAGCCCCGACCCACGAAAGCCCUGAGUGGAGCCUCAGCAUUACGAAGGCAUCGUCCUGUCCCUCAGACUGGCUAAGAGGAGGGCAUCCUGCGAUCUUUGUCAGCAGACGGUGAGACUCCAGGACUAAGACGUAAGCCCAUGGCGGGUCCUUCCUUUGGCACCAAGUCCCUACAGAACCUUGGAUGAGUCAGAUCCCCACACUGUACCCCCCCCCCUCAGUAUCCACAGCUCUGAAGUGGGAAUAAUAUCAACACAUGGGGAAGUACUGAGGAGGAAGAGAACAUUACAGGUAAAACACUUUUGUUCGUUGAGCACCUUUUCCCCAAGAAACAUGGCACCAACUUUGCACCAUGUCCCCAACUCUUCAUUGAAUGCGGCAGUGACCGACUCACUCUCCCUGGUCUUUGGGCAGGCGUUUCUAUGAGCUCAAAGUCUCAUUCCUCUAAUUUCAGAUUAAAAUAAUCAUGCAUUAACAUCUCUUCAGAGUAUGUUUACAGUCACUAAAACAGCUCAUACUUUUCCUGCAGAAUUGUAACAGCUACUCAGGGACUCUGCCAAUCAGAGUGCCCGCACAGAGCUCGUUUUGCACCACGAAGGCAGGAAUCCUGGAAGCGCCACCUCGGCAGACGCUGGAUGUUUCAGACAUCCAAGACAGGCAACUGCACAGAGUCACCCCCAUGGCCAAGAUCCACCCACAGAAAAAAAUCCCCUCAGAAACAGACAAUCCGCUUCUCGUCUUCAAAGACUUUGGCCUCCUCUGGCUUUAUCAAGUUUCCGUUUAAGCUGUUGGAGAAAAACAAAGAACACAAGGGUGCCCAAUCAAAAAUGUUUGGAGACUACCAGUCUGAACAACAAAUUCUUGGAGACUACCAUUCUGAACAACAAAUUCUAAGGAACACAUCUGGGGAACAGGCAGUCUGAUGUCUCCUUCCAGAUGGCUGGAGAAAGGCAAGGCAGUUUUUAAACUGCCUGAUCUAUAAAAUGGGAAUAACUAUAAGAGAACCCCGCUACCCUGGGUGUGUGAGAUUUCAAUAGGAGGAUGUGUAUGAAGUAGUUCUCAUCAUUUCUACCAUGGCGCCCAGGGGAAGGGAGCUCUUGUCACCAUUCCUGCCCAAGCACACAGGACUCGGUGGCUGUGCUGCAGCCAGGACCCAGUGAUCCCCGCCACAUCUCUCAAAGACUGGGGCCCCUGGGCCAAGUGGCAGAGGUGAGACCUUCUGGUAAGCACAGCCACAGUGUGACUUGGACAUUUUUGCAAAAGGAGCAAAAAUAGAACCUGGAAGUGGGCACUGAGUUCUGCAUUCAGUUAAAUUCUGCUGUUUCCUAAUCACCCCUUCCGGAAAGCUGCAAACACUGGCACCACCUACACCUUGCUGGGGGGAGGGUGAGCUGCCUGAGGCCUAGACCUGGCAAGAGGCUGGGUAGGAGGAGAAGUAAAAAGCCUGGCAGUGCUCAGGUACAUAUGCCCACUGGCUACCUUCACUGCAGCCAGUGUAGUCUGUACUGGCACCAAGAGCUAAGAGUCACUCUCUAGCCCUGUUCUAGCUCUGUUCUCGUGAAGGGGCUGGCCUGACACCUAGGGAAGGGCAUAAAAGAACGUCUACAGGUCAGAAAGAAAAGGAAUAAAACAAAAAAACACAGAUGUAAAAGUAGCACACUCUGGGUUUUUUUGGGGUUUUUUGUUUUUACAGAAAUUGACAUGGUGAUCUAAAAUUCACAUGGAAAUGCUAGAGACCCAGAAUAGUCAAAACAAUAUUGAGAAAGAAGAACAAAGUUGGAAGACCCACAUUUCCUGGUUUCAAAACUUACUACAAAGUUACAAUAAUCAGGACAGUGUGGUCCUGGCAUGAUGAUAAACAUAUGGCUCAAUGAACUAAAAUAGAAGGUCCAGAAAUAAACUCACAGAUUUAUGGUCAACUGAGUUUUGACAAAAGCGUCAGGGCCAUUCAAAAUGGAAAGAGACUUUUCAACAUGUGGUGCUGGGACAACUGGAUAUCUACAUGCAAUAAUAUGAAGCUGGACCCCUAACACCUCAUACCAUACACAGAAAUGAACUCCAAAUGGAUCAAAGACCUAAAUGUAAGAGCAAAACUGUAACACUUAAAGGAAAUCUUUGGGACCUUGGAUUAGCCAAUGAUUUCUUACUAAGGUACCUAAAGCACAGGCAACUAAACAAAAAAUAGAUAAAUUGGACUUUAUCAAAAUUAAAUACUUUGGUGCUUCAAAGGUCACUCUCAAGAAAGUGAAAAACCUCACAGAAAGAGAAGAAAUAUUUGCAAAUCGCGUAUCUAGUAAAUGUCUAGCACCCAGAAUAUAUAAAGAACUCUAACAACUCAGCAAUUAAAAGGCAUAUAACCCAAUUUACAAAUGGACAAAGGAUGUGGAGACAGUUCUCUAAAGAAGGUACACAAAUGGCCAAUAUGCACAUGAAAAGACACCCAACACUGUUAGCAGUCAGGGAAACGCAAAUCAAAACCAUGAUGAGGGCUUCCCUGGUGGCGCAGUGGCUGAGAGUCCGCCUGCCGUUGCAGGGGACAUGGGUUCAUGCCCCGGUCCGGGAAGAUCCCACAUGCUGCAGAGCGGCUGGGCCCAUAAGCCAUGGCCUCUGAGCCUGCGCAUCCAGAGCCUGUGCUCCGCAACGGGAGAGGCCACAACAGUGAGAGGCCCGCGUACCGAAAAAAAAAAAAGAAAAAAAAAACCCAUGACGAGAUACCACUUUGCACCCACUAGGAUGGCAUUACCCAAAAAAGACAGACAACAGCAAGUGUUGGUGAGGACAUGGAGAAAUGGGGACCUUCAUACAUGACUGGUGGAAAUGUAAAUAGCACAACCACUUUGAAACACAGUUUGGCAUUUAACACAGAGUGACCAUAUGACCCAGCAAUUCUAUCCCAAGAGAAAUGAAAACAUUUCACGUACAAACAUAUGCGCGAAUGUUCACAGUAGCAUUAUUCAUAAUAGUCAUAAAGUAGAAACAACCCAAAUGUCCACCAACUGAAGAAUGGACAAACAAAACAUGGACUGUCCAUACAAUGGAAUAUCAUUCAGCCAUAAAAAGCAAUGGAGUACUGAUAUAUGCUACAAUGUGGGUGAACCUUGAAAACUUUUGCUAGUGAAAGAACAUAGAAACAAAAGGUCAUAUAUUGUAUGACUGCAUUUCUAUGAAAUGCCCAGAAGAGGCAAAUCCAUAGAGCCUGGAAGUAGAUUAGCAGGUGCCAGGGACUAAGGGAGGAGAAGGAUGGGGAGUGAUGACUUAACGCGUACAGGUUUCUGGCGGGUAGGGGAGGUGGGUAGUUUUGUAAAAUGUUCUAGAAUUAGAUAGUGGUGAUGGCUGCACCACCUUAUAAAUAUGCUAAAAACCACUGAACUGUACACUUAAAAAGUGUGACUUUAUGAUAUGUGAAUCUCAAAAAAUAUUUCAAAAGAUAUAUCAAAAAAUAUUUGUUUAAAAAGCACAGUGUUUAAAUCUGAAUUACCAUAAAUGUUUCAACGUCUGGUUGACUUUCAACAUCUCUGCCAAGCUCUCUGCCACUUCAUCAUCAAGUUCAUUUUUGGUGAGCCUGGAAAAGAAAGGAAGUGUCGACUCAGGACAGCGCUACCUGGCACCCACUCUCCACUGAGUUCACAGAAGCGGGAUCCCAGCCCCGGCGUCUGCAGCUUAUGCAGCUCAUCACUUGCUGAGAACCCAGCAAGCAGCCAGGCUCCAAGCCAGCCUCUGAGCCCCACAGACAAUAAACAGAGGUUCAUUUCUAGUGCAACCCUUCACCCAAGCUCCUACUUCUUAGCCCUGCCGCUGCGGGGGGAGCCCAUACUCCCUCCCCAUCCUUGCUGAGCCCUCAGAUCUCUCAGAAGACGGGCCCACAGAAAGCGAGGGGCCAGUGCCUGCUUCUCGGGUCUCCAGCCGUUAAGAUCCCUUGAACACCACGGACAGUGUGUUACUAAACUCAGUCAGAUGAAGACCUAGAAAAGCCUGCCGACUGCGCGUUAAAAUGUGUUGAUCACUUUGCUCCGAGGCCACUUAUGAAGGACCCGAGUUCUGUGACUGAAAGUUCAGGAAGUCUCUCAGUUGUUCGUAAAAGCAGGAAGUGGUCUGGAUAAAGUACAGAGGGCUAGAAGUUCCUGGUUGUAAAGAGAAUUAAACCCUGUUGUGCCAGUGGAUGAAAGAAUAAAUAAGGAAGGAGAAAUGAAUAUGAAGAACAUUUAAAAAAUCAUUCCUUGAAGGGCAAUUUGGUAGUGUCUAUCCACACUUUAAAUGUGUUUCACUUUGGGCCAACAGUUCAACGUCUAGAAAUCCACCCUAUGGUGUGCAAAGACAUUACACACAGGUUCUAUACAUGCAGUACUGGUUGCAGUCUUUUCGGUCAUAACGUAAGAUGUGAACAAAUUUCAGUAUCAGUAGAGGCAGCCAGCAAAAUACAUUGUGAGUGUACAUUCAAGGGACACCGUGCAACCUUUAGAGAGAAUGAGGUAGGAUAAAGAAAGAGGCAGAAGAGCGUGGGGCUCAAGAUGCUCUGAGCCAGACAUGCCGGCUGGCAAUGGCUUACUAGCAGGGCGACCACAGCACGUGGUUGAACUUCUCUGGGCCUGAGUUUUCUCACCAGCAAAUGUGAACAGUAAUGGUACAGCCCUCAUAACACAGUUGUGAGAAUGAGUUAAUACAUGGAAAAGGCUGAGAACAAUGUGUGAUGUACAGUGAGUACUCAAGAGAUUUUGGGGAUUGACAUUAUUAUUAUCCCCCUAGACCUGUGGUUCUCAACUGGGGUGACUUCUCCAGGGGACACUUGCCAAUGUCUGGAGACAAUUUCGACUGUCGCAAUUAGGGGUUACUACUGGUAUCUAAUGGGUAGAGGCCAGGGAUUCUGCUAAACACCUUACAAUGCACAGGACAGCCUCUCAACAAAAAAGAAUUAUUUGGACCCAAAUGUCAACAGUGUUGAGAUUGAGAAACCCUGACAUAAAAGAACAUGUCAAAUAUGUACCAUAUAUGGUUGAGAUAUUUUUUCUUUAGUCACUUGCUAAAUGCUAUUCAGUUUCAUAAGAAAAGCGAUAUUUAUUUGAAUAUACAUUCAAAUGCUAGAAAUAAAAGAUUAUAUUUAGAAAGCAUGAGGAAGGAGGUUUUUUCACUUCCUACUUUCCCGACUUCAGUGUAUUAUAUUUUUUUCAAAAAAGCAUGUAUUUUCAAAAUCUUUUAAAAGAUUUUUUUGAGGGGAAAAGGAAAAUGCACUUACUGGCCAACAGGUCUAGUAUCUGAAUUCUCAUAAUGACAACAUUUUCAUUAACUGAUGUAGCCAAUAUCUCAUGACGAGGAUACAGAGACAUGUAAUGUAACUUCCUUUCCCGGAAGCAAUUUAUGAUACAGGCAAGUAAAUAAAUAAAAAUACGGUAAAUGACCAAAAAAAGGAACAACCAAAAGAAAGAAAAAAAGCGUCACUUUCAGAAGGUAACACACAGUUAACUAGUGGCCCUGGAGUGCAGAGAGGGAGCGAGGGCUGUGGGCUUCCCGUGACAGGUGAGCUGGAGCAUGAAGGCCAAGUCCUGAUGUGACUACCUGGGGACAGAGGAGGCUGCACGGGGGGUAGGCAGUUUAAGAGGAAGAAGGGAGAAAGUUCUGAGACAAGUGCAUGAAAGUUGGACUCCUCAAGGCAUAUCUGAGGGUGUUCCGAGGAUAUCCUGACAGAAUAGCUAGCCUUCUGGUUUUCCUGAGGCCUAGGGUGGGCAAAGAAGGCUAAGGUCUCAAACUCAUGUUCCUGGGACCCAUUCCACCCAUUCUGUACUUGUUUGUGCUUCUGGGAAUGGCUAUUUUCUUCUCUAGGAGGAAAUGAAAUUAUAAACCUUCCUUUGAGGAAAGGCCUAGAGCCUUUACAACAGAGAGGCACUCUUUCACUUAAGAUUCCAGGCUGUGCACAGUCUUUGGAAAAAUCCCUGAGACCCAACCGUUCAAAAUGACUCUGGUCAUUACCAGAAUAUUUUCAGAGACGCAUUCUGCUGCAGGGCCCACGCGAGGCUCUUUCCUCCUUCUGUAGAAAUGCCAUUGAAUGCAAGACUAGGAAGGAAAAACAUUUGGGGUAGGUUAUUAAAAACACGUCUACAUUUGGCUUUGGUUUCAGCAACUAAAACAGCUGGCAAGACUCCACCUGGACGUAGUUCCUGCCUGGGCUGAUUUGAAGCAGGAAGCGUAAGUGCCGGCCUCACCAGCAGCCACUCAGCCUUUGCCGCUCCAGAGCCCAGGACGAGGCCAAUCACCAGACUGCUCAAGGAGAGGCCAGACAGGAAAUGGAACAUGGCAAGACCUGGUCACACGGGCUGAGGACGCCUGGCGAGCUCUGCUUCGGAGGUUGACACGUUACAGGCGCCUGUCAGUGAGGCCUGGAGAAGUUUCCUCUGUUCUUGUAUGGAAGGAACUCUGCUACUGCCCCCACCGUAUUUAACCCUUUGUCAGUGACAGGAAGGACACGGGCAACCAGGAGACCCCCGAGUCUCAGAGAUUUGGCCAGAGGCCUAAAGGAGGGCCAGGGAGGACCAAGUCUGUUUACAGAGGUGAAGGGUCCCCUCUUGUCCCAGCACCAUCCUGAGAAACGAGGAGGGGGCAGGAAUCUGCGGCCCAGUGUCUUUCAGUUUUGUCUGGACUGAAGAAUUCCUCCCCAACCCCCAAGGGGCACGGGAAGACUACAGAGGGGCUGGCAAUGUCUAGUCUUGAUCUGACUGGUGUGUACACAUGUCACAUCACAGAGCUGAAAACUUAAGCAUAAUAUACUUAACUGUAUGCCUC